rnacentral:rRNA from 1 species
AUGGCAAUGAUGGUGAAGGCAGUCCUCGUUGCCGUCGUGGCCGUGGCAGCGCUUGCGCAGCUCACCGUGGCAGUGGAUCACCAGGUGGGUGGCAGCGGCGCGACCUGGGCCACCAGCGGCGGCUACGACUCGUGGUCGGGGAAGCAGAAGUUCUCUCCGGGAGACAGCCUGGUAUUUUCGUACUCGCCGGCGCACGACGUCGUGGAGGUGAGCAAGGCCGACUACGACGCCUGCACGGCCAGCAAAGUCGUCGCCAGAUACACCGGCGGCAAGACCACCGUCAAGCUCACCACUGCCGGAAAGCGCUACUUCAUCUGCAGCAUCACCGGCCACUGCGACGCCGGCAUGAAGCUCCAGGUGAACGUCGCCGCCGCAACCGCCGCCCCCACCAAGCCCAGGGGCCAGAGGAGCGUCGCCCCUGUCGCCGCCCCCGCGCCGGCACCGGAGGGGUCGGCAACCGACGAGCAGUUACCGACAGUGUCGUCGCCCACGGGAACACCGACGCCCAGUUCGCCGUCCGGCUCGGGCGCCGCCAGCAUCGGUGCGAGCGCUGCGGUGGCGCUCGCCAUGGGCAUGGCUGUGGCGUUGGCCAUGUGA